GACGAACGCUGGCGGCGUGCUUAACACAUGCAAGUCGAACGGAAAGGCCCUGCUUUUGUGGGGUUCUCGAGUGGCGAACGGGUGAGUAACACGUGAGUAACCUGCCCUUGACUUUGGGAUAACUUCAGGAAACGGGGGCUAAUACCGGAUAGGAGCUCCUGCUGCAUGGUGGGGGUUGGAAAGUUUCGGCGGUUGGGGAUGGACUCGCGGCUUAUCAGCUUGUUGGUGGGGUAGUGGCUUACCAAGGCUUUGACGGGUAGCCGGCCUGAGAGGGUGACCGGCCACAUUGGGACUGAGGUAGGGCCCAGACUCCUACGGGAGGCAGCAGUGGGGAAUAUUGCACAAUGGGAGGAAGCCUGAUGCAGCAACGCCGCGUGCGGGAUGACGGCCUUCGGGUUGUAAACCGCUUUCGCCUGUGACGAAGCGUGAGUGACGGUAAUGGGUAAAGAAGCACCGGCUAACUACGUG
rnacentral:rRNA from 1 species